AAGUCGUAACAAGGUUUCCGUAGGUGAACCUGCGGAAGGAUCAUUACCACGUAUCCACGUACCCACCCUUUGUGCACCCGUUGUCCCUCUCCCUCGUAUUCAGUGUACACCGACGAGUGAAAUGUGCAGUAUGAGUAGAUUUGUGUCUGACACAGGUCGCUGCCGUUUCCGAGACUUUUGUUUCCGUCGUCACUGUUUCGAGGCUUAGUCCUUUGCGUGUGUCGCCUUACUCGGCGAACCACCAUUGGGCGUCAUUUUUACACACACAUGACACACCUAUUUUGCUAGUUGACUUAUAUGCUGGUGAAUAUGAUUGCUUCGGCAUCUAUCCAUCCGUUUGAUUUAUUCGAACUAUAAAAUACAACUCUUAGCAAUGGAUAUCUAGGUUCUC
rnacentral:misc_RNA from 1 species